rnacentral:lncRNA from 1 species
CCCGCCGCUAGGGGGCAGCACCGGAUCAUGAAACCUACAGGAAAUGAAACGGGGAAGAAUUUGUUUUUAAGAGUUUGUAGCAACAGGUUGUUGUUUUACUUUUUUAGCUUCAUAUGUCUUUGUUUUGCUCUUUUAUAAUUACUUUGUUUUGUUGGAAUCUAACAAUUGUCGCUUUAAACUUCCACCUUUUGCUCUAAAUUUGGGCCAAACCGCGUUUUUUCUGAAGCUGAUUCAAGCGAAAGCGGGAAGUUUGAAUGGAGUGAGCUAACUUUAGCCUGCAUGCUAACAGGUAAAGGCUCACCUGUCGACAUGUUCUCGUCUUCCUCCCCUCCCCUUCCUCACGGUUCGGUUCGGUCGUCGUGCGGUUCGGAAACCGCAGAAGUUUUGCUCCGCUCCACACGGGUUCUUCCUCCGAACCGGAGCCGUGUGUCCGAAUCAGGUCCUCGAUCCGUCCACAUCAGUGUUCAGAAGCUGCCGGACUCUACGGGGGUUAGGCCGAAGCGAACCGAACCGGAACCGAGACCGAAGAAGCACACACACCCUCCGGGAAGCCUGGAGGUGGAACCGGAGCCAGAUGAAGACGUGCUGACAUCGCGCUUCACAGCCGGAGGUCGAGGAGCCGUUCUGGGAGCUCUGAGGAGGCGCUCAAACAGCGCCUCCAACAGGAAGGAGGUGCGAGUGCAGCUUCUCCCCCAGGAAGCCUUGCAGAGAGAUCGUCACGCUGCAGCCGGGGUCAGGGUGCAGACGGAGGCAGCUGCUCCUCCCAUCGGGGGUCAGUCGGAUUUAGAGACUCGAGUGUCUCGACUGCUGGAAGACAUCCACAACGUGCUGGACUCUCACAGGUACUGACUCCUCUGGAAAACCUGAAAAAAUCUGAAUUUCUGGGUGUUUUUUUUCAUAUUUGCUGCUAGAGCUGCCACAAACGAUUAUUUUAAUAGUCGACUAAUCACCGAUUAUUUUUUCCAAUUAGUCGACUAAUCGGGUCAUGCUCAAACUGGAUGUAAAACACACAUCUU